AAUCAGCUGAGGGUUAGUCGGGGCCUAACGCGUACCCGAAAGGGGAAGUGGAUGGACAUAGGGUUAAUAUUCCCUAACUUGCUCACGAAUAAAGGGGACGGUUGGAUGUAGCUACUGGAGACUGACGGAAUAGUCAAGACUUAGCCUUCGGGCGAAGUUGUUGUAGUGUAAUCUGAUCCAAGAAAAGCCGAAGUGAAGCAACCCGUACCAAAACCGACACAGGUAGUCGAGGAGAGAAUCCUAAGGUGCUCGAGUGAGUCGUGGCUAAGGAACUAGGCAAAAUAGUCUCGUAACUUCGGAAGAAGAGACGCCAGCAGUAAUGCUGGCCGCAGUGAAGAGGCCCAGGCGACUGUUUAUCAAAAACACAGGACUCUGC
rnacentral:rRNA from 1 species